rnacentral:rRNA from 1 species
UACGUAGGUGGCAAGCGUUGUCCGGAUUUAUUGGGUUUAAAGGGUGCGUAGGCGGUUCCAUAAGUCAGUGGUGAAAUACGGCAGCUCAACUGUCGAGGUGCCAUUGAUACUGCGGAACUUGAGUACUGAUGAGGUAGGCGGAAUUGACGGUGUAGCGGUGAAAUGCUUAGAUAUCGUCAAGAGCACCGAUAGCGAAGGCAGCUUACCAAGCAGUAACUGACGCUGAGGCACGAAAGUGCGGGGAUCAAACAGG